AACGAACGCUGGCGGCAUGCCUAACACAUGCAAGUCGAACGAGACCUUCGGGUCUAGUGGCGCACGGGUGCAUAACGCGUGGGAACCUGCCCUUAGGUUCGGAAUAACUCCCCGAAAGGGGUGCUAAUACCGGAUAAUGUCUUCGGACCAAAGAUUUAUCGCCUUUGGAUGGGCCCGCGUUGGAUUAGCUAGUUGGUAGGGUAAAAGCCUACCAAGGCGACGAUCCAUAGCUGGUCUGAGAGGAUGAUCAGCCACACUGGGACUGAGACACGGCCCAGACUCCUACGGGAGGCAGCAGUGGGGAAUAUUGGACAAGGGGCGAAAGCCUGAUCCAGCAAUGCCGCGUGAGUGAUGAAGGCCUUAGGGUUGUAAAGCUCUUUUACCCGGGAUGAUAAUGACAGUACCGGGAGAAUAAGCUCCGGCUAACUCCGUG
rnacentral:rRNA from 1 species